rnacentral:lncRNA from 1 species
CAUGGCUGCCGCUGCUGCGCGCGCGCGGACGAAGUCCCGGAGCCCAUGUACCGCGCGGAGGUCCGCAACUGAGCACACGAGAUGCAGCUAUACGUACCUACGUGUGCGUACAACUCUACGUGAUGUUGUUCUGCACACGUACGUAUAGUAAGUUGCUGGUAAAUAUGGUCUCUGAUAAAUAAAGUGAGUAACCAUGCAAAAAAAAUAAAAAAAUAAAGUGCGUACGUAUACCGUAUACGUACGAGAGCCCGGUUUGCACUUUGCACAAUGAUCUUGGAGAACACACGCCCCUCUGUGUUCUUGUAUGUAUUAAUACCCCACACUAUAUAUGUUCUCCAUGUAUGUAUCAAAUUCCAUGUUUACAGUUAUGGGAAUAUGUUAUUGUGGAAUAAAAUCAUAGAGGAAUAUAGCCAAAGUUCUACACGGAACACUUAAUUCCUUCUGUAUGCCGUAUUUCAAUGCUGCAAAGAAAAUAGAGGAAGAUAAUAGACAAAGAAAU